CAUUAAUGAAUGCCUUUUUAAAGAGUUUAAAUAACUUUAAACUAUUUGUUUCCUGUAUUUCUAAGUAGAAAACUUCCAUUCACAUUUCUUCGUUACACUUAAGAUUCACGGGAAUGUUAAAUCUGUGACAAGCGUCCAUCAAUCAUUGUAGUCCACGUCUUUGAAUAAGAAUUCUGUCGUUCGGCAUUCAUCACCAAGCGAAUAUCUUCCUUCACUGCAAAUUUCUAUUUGCAAAUCAAAUUCUUUCAUGUUUUUCUUUAAGCUUUAAUGGUUCUUGUAUAUUCUCUUUCAGUUUUCAAUACUUGAUACAACAUAUGUCACUAAAACAUCAGUUGCUGGAUUUAACUGAUAUACCUACUAUACACCAGUAAUCUCUUCUUACCAUAAACAUGCUUUUGCAAUUACCUGCCAGAGAGAAGCAUAUGAUAACUAUACUAUGGAAUAUAACUCAAACAAGUUUCUGAAAUAAAGAAAUUUACACAACUAGUAUCAUUUCAAGCAACAUGAUUAAAGACUUAUGAAAUUCCUGUAUCAGAAUGCUGAAUGCUGUACACUUCAGUUAUGAUUGAUUGUAUUGGGAAAUCAGUUGCAUGCCCAUAUGAAAAACCAACAUUAUAGUGAUCCAACAAAGGAACAUCUACAGGUUACUAAACUUGCUACAGAUCCUAAAUAUUCCAAAAAUGAUGUCAUGGUCACUGUUUGAAGGCUGCUGAUGGUAGGUUUGCUCAAUAUGAAUUAACUUGGGGCAUAUGAAAAUAAUACAUAAACAAUAAAACUACAAUUACCAUACUAACACUUA